AAAAUAUAAUUACAAAUUUAUUUUCUAUGAGAUUUCUUUAAAAAGUAAGGAGUAGAAAACCAUCGUCCGCAGACCACAAAUGUUAAUAUGGCGCCCAUACGUGCGGCUUGUCACUGGUAGUUUAUUUGAAAAAAAAAACAUCAUCAUGGAAGAGAGAAGUAGAUUAGAUCAAAAUGAUAUGUGGAAAGUGAGUAGCGAGACUCCAGUCCAGAGCAGUCCAGAACAAGGUGGGCCUUCUUUUUUGAAUAAUACUAGUGAUAGGUGGGAAGAAUUUCACCCAAACCCAAACUUAAAUACGAAUCCAUUUUCUCCAACUUAUACGGAAAAUUUAGAGCAAAAUUCAACCAGCAUUGACCAGAAAAUGCAGAGUAUGGCGAAGACUUUCUUAAAAGCGUUUCAGAGUGUUGCUGGCAGUUGUUUUCAGAAGUCUACGCCGAAAUUAAGUAUCACAUAUUCAGGUUUUGAACAUGAGGAUCCGCUGAGAUUUUUGGAAAGGUUGAGUCACUAUUUUAAAGAAAACAGUGUACCACAGGACGAACAGUUGUAGCUGAAAUAAGUGCUAAAUUAUAUGGCCAGAUUCAAAAUAAGGAAGCCGUAGAUGUAUUUAUCACAAGGAAAUGGGCAUUAUUUCAACGAAUAGCGCCAAAUACCCCAGAUCAGGCCAAGGCAGGGACUAUUUUAAGCCAACUACAUCCGGAAAUAAGAGCAGCCUUGAGAUCUCCUGUUUCAUUUUCCAAUCCUGAAGAACUUAUCAGAGUAGCGUAUCAAGUGGAGAGAGGCCUGAGAGAAGUUAAAACGAAGCCUAUGUUAAAAUUUCCGAUAUUGUGGUGAACUUCACUUCCAUCGUAACUGUCCACGAAAUCCUUACAAUCAGGGAAACUUACAGAGGGCUCCGCAGAACGGGACCUCUUAGCGGAAUUAAGCCCAUUAAAUUUAUACCCUCAUGCCGUGAACCUUGCGUCAGUUUCAAAUAAUAAUUUUAAUGUUAACCAUUCUAAUUCUUUAAAUUCAACUUGCUUUGCUACACACCCAGAAAAUAAAUUGCCUAAAUUAAUUAUUACUUACCUUGGAAAGACAUUUCAAGCACUUAUUGACACUGGAUCUGCUGUAAAUUUAAUUCGAAGUUCAGUUUUACCUUCAAAUUUGUUACAAAGUUGUGUUCCAUCUAAUAUAAAUCUGU
rnacentral:misc_RNA from 1 species